UUGGUUAUCUCUACAGUUUUUAUGGCCAGC
rnacentral:piRNA from 1 species